GGGCGAGUGGUCUAGCUGGCUAUGACGUCACUCUCACGCAGUGAAGGUCCCCGGUUCGAAUCCGGGCUCGCCCA
rnacentral:tRNA from 1 species